rnacentral:rRNA from 1 species
GACGAACGCUGGCGGCGUGCUUAACACAUGCAAGUCGAACGGAAAGGCCCUGCUUUUGUGGGGUGCUCGAGUGGCGAACGGGUGAGUAACACGUGAGUAACCUGCCCUUGACUUUGGGAUAACUUCAGGAAACUGGGGCUAAUGCCGGAUAGGAGCUCCUGCUGCAUGGUGGGGGUUGGAAAGUUUCGGCGGUUGGGGAUGGACUCGCGGCUUAUCAGCUUGUUGGUGGGGUAGUGGCUUACCAAGGCUUUGACGGGUAGCCGGCCUGAGAGGGUGACCGGCCACAUUGGGACUGAGAUACGGCCCAGACUCCUACGGGAGGCAGCAGUGGGGAAUAUUGCACAAUGGGCGGAAGCCUGAUGCAGCAACGCCGCGUGCGGGAUGACGGCCUUCGGGUUGUAAACCGCUUUCGCUCGUGACGAAGCGUGAGUGACGGUAAUGGGUAAAGAAGCACCGGCUAACUACGUG